GCUGCGGCGCCGCGCGCUAUUUAUACCGCGCGGGCAUCUCGCGAGAGCCGCGCGGGCCCUGCGCGCUGGAUGAUGCAUACACGGCGGGGCGGAGCGGGUGUUGUUUAUGCAGUUUGCGUUGUUUAUACAGCGCGCGGGGCGGGCGCGGCUCGCGGGGCCUCCGGGCGCGCGCGGGCGGAGCGCGCAGAGCGCAGCGCGGCGGCGAGCGGUGCCGUUCCGGGCCGCCGGGAGCUCCACGGCCACGCCGUCCACCAGGAGCUGUGAAGAGCACGGGGCUGCCGCGAUGGACGGCGACGCGGGAGUCACAGCUGGGAACGACUCGGCUUUGUGUUGUGAUGUGCAAUAAAAGAUGAAGUGCUUAAAAGA